UUGAAGGCUUUUUUCAAAGCCAUCCUGCAAAUUAUAAUAAAAAAUAU
rfam:Plasmodium chabaudi chabaudi, WGS project CAAJ01000000 data, contig: PC_RP2944